rnacentral:rRNA from 1 species
UACGUAGGGUGCAAGCGUUAAUCGGAAUUACUGGGCGUAAAGCGUGCGCAGGCGGUUUUGUAAGUCUGACGUGAAAUCCCAGGGCUCAACCUGGGAAUUGCGUUGGAGACUGCAAGGCUAGAAUCUGGCAGAGGGGGGUAGAAUUCCACGUGUAGCAGUGAAAUGCGUAGAGAUGUGGAGGAACACCGAUGGCGAAGGCAGCCCCCUGGGUCAAGAUUGACGCUCAUGCACGAAAGCGUGGGGAGCAAACAGG